UUAUGGCUCAGGAUGAACGCUGGCGGCGUGCUUAACACAUGCAAGUCGAGCGAAGCGAUUCAAAUGAAGUUUCGGAUGGAUUUGAAUUGACUUAGCGGCGGACGGGUGAGUAACGCGUGGGUAACCUGCCUCAUACAGGGGGAUAACAGUUGGAAACGACUGCUAAUACCGCAUAAGCACACAGUGCCGCAUGGUACGGUGUGAAAAACUCCGGUGGUAUGAGAUGGACCCGCGUCUGAUUAGGUAGUUGGUGAGGUAACGGCCCACCAAGCCGACGAUCAGUAGCCGACCUGAGAGGGUGACCGGCCACAUUGGGACUGAGACACGGCCCAAACUCCUACGGGAGGCAGCAGUGGGGAAUAUUGGACAAUGGGGGAAACCCUGAUCCAAGCGACGCCGCGUGAGUGAAGAAGUAUUUCGGUAUGUAAAGCUCUAUCAGCAGGGAAGAAAAUGACGGUACCUGACUAAGAAGCCCCGGCUAACUACGUGCCAGCAGCCGC
rnacentral:rRNA from 1 species